rnacentral:lncRNA from 1 species
CACACACACAAAAAAAAAAAAAAAAAAUCAAAUGGACAAAUUUAUAAAACUACCAGCAAGAUCCCAAGGUUCUGAUUUGUAAACAUCAACUUCUGAAACAGCUUCAAACCGAAACGGUUUCCGACAAACCUUGCGCCUCAAGUAAUACCUCACAAGUUCCUCAUCGGUCGGGUGAAACCGGAAUCCAGGUGCAAGUGACGUCGGCGCCGGCGAUGAUGACGUUGCCGGCGGUGGCGCCACUGUCAUCAACUCAAUAUGACUCAUUUUCUCUUUGUUUUUUUUUUCUUUCUUUGUGGGUAUCACUCUUUUUGAUGAAAUAAGGAUUGUAGUUGAAGCAAGUGAGCUACAUGAUGAGAGAGAAAGAGGAUAUGGAUUGUCUUGUAUUGUACUGUGUUUGUGUUGUUUUGUGGGGUAAGAAACCACCAUUGAUGGGUGAUGAAUGGAUACUUGCUUGAUACGGAAAUCGAGUGUGUGUGUGUGACACUGUUGAAACAUGUUUAUGGUUUGAUUGAUGUAUGGUUUUGAUUUUCAAUGUUUGAUUUAUGACUUGGAAGAGUAG